CUCCACCUUACACGGUGUACGAUCCAUUAGGUUCGUUUUAGCUAGGCAGGGGGCGAUUAAAAUCAUUUCAAAUCGAUUGUGAAUUGAAACUUACUUUCAAUUCUCCCUUUAGUGAUUAUACACGUUUAGGGCUUCCACAAACCAUGAGUGACACCUAGAAGCAUAUCAUGGUUACCCAAGCUAAUCAGAAGAGGUGGAGAACCUAUUCGGUUUAGGAUUACAAAUGCAAUACGGUAUUUCUCUAAUACAAUACCCUUGACCACAUUGUUUGGUUUGAUAGUUUAUUCAUGUCUACUAUCCAAUGUGAUUCGUGUGCUUAUAUGAUUACCUUGAAUGUGAUUUGGAACGACUUCCUAAAUCUCAUUCAUACUCUGGCCAUAGAUUCUUAAUCAUAUCAUAGAGUAUUCUCCCCCAAACGGUUUGAAGGUUAGAGAUCCCUUGUUGCGCAUUCACUUGUCUCCAUGGCUCAGUGGCUUAACCCCGACGAUGCCGUGGACACCCUCCUGAUGGAGUGACUUUGACAUAAUCAAAGAUCAAGGACUUAACCACAAGACAACUAUGAUGCCUCAGGUCAAAGGACUACUUUGCAUUAUCCCAACCAUGAGUUCUCAUGUGACAUGAGUAUGAGAACUCCUCGUUGAUCGUGUUCAGUGGACUCAUUCAUUAUUGAGCACCUACAUGCUUGUCUUGAUGUCACACACACCAAUGACUCGAGACUAGUCACUCUCCCUGAGAGAAGACACAGCACGUACUGAUCUUAACGGACUGUCAAUGCCCAAUUGGCAAUCCUAUGAUCAGGAACGUUUAGGAUGUGUCUACGAAAGAAUGUGCUCAUGAAUCUAACUUCUUUAGAUCGCAUUCUCCCAACUUACAUGAUGGAUGGAUCUCUACAACUUACAUGUCUUGUGAUUCAUAGUUUUAGACAUAUAUAUUAUCAAGACUAUCUUAAUAAUGGUUUCGGAAACCCAUAUAAUGUCCAAACAUUGAAUCACCAUUUAGUUGUAGCUAGCAAUCUUUGAAUUAAUUGAAACCAAGACUACGUCAAAGAUGGUUUCUUCCAAGUCAACCAAUAUCUUUGAUUGUAGUCACCUUAAGCUACCAAUUAGCUAUUAAAGGUUUCACUUAUUUCGGGUCAAAUGGUACUUUACCAUUUCCUUGAGUAUAUAUCCUAUAUACACUCAAUGUAGUCAUAAGGAUUUAUCAUUCUUAUUUCUUUUGAAUUAAGAGUUGCAACUCUAUGACAUAGUCAUAAAGUUCAAACCAUUCAACCGAGACGGUUUAUAAAUCCUUCUCGACUACCUAGGAGCUUGUGGUGAAGGAACUAGGUUGUUAUAUUUGUUGAUCACUAUCUUGUUUCUCAAAGAACCCAUUCUUUGAGUUCUAUCUCUCGUUCAUUUGCGCUAUCUUAGGCAAAUCCUUGUGUAGGAUUACAAUGAACUACCCAACAAACAACAUUUGUUAGUUGGUUUAUAGAAGUGAUAUCCAAAUGUUUAUUUAAGGAUACCCACAAGAUAAUUUUUAAACAAAUAUUGCUUAUUAGCACAUAACCCCAAAUCUUAACAUGAUUAAGAUCCAUGAUAUUUUGCAAUGUCUUGAGAGGAAAUAUUGCAUUCCUAGGUAGCUUCUUCUACGGAAUGGUUCCUCACAAGAUAAUUUUUAAACAAAUAUUGCAUUCUCAGGUAUGUCAAAGGUACUCCCGACCAUGUGAAUUCCUUUACUCACCCGUCCAGCCCUCCCUUUCUUCACGAUUAUUUAGAUGUAGGUUGGGUUGGCUGUCCAAAUACUCGUCAUUCUACCUCUAGAUUUCUUGUCUUUCAUGGCCCUACUUUCAUAUCCUAAAGUUCUGCCAAGCAAACACAUGUCACUCGGUCUAGUGUGGAAUCUAAAUAUCAGGCUUUAGCUGAUGCUUGUGUUGAAUCUAUUUGGCUCUCUUAUGUUCUUCGUGAGCUUCGGUUUCCGGUCACCUCUCCCACUGUUUUAUAUUGUGACAACUUGAGAACUACAUACAUGGCUACCAAUCCUAUCUUACAUGCUCGGAUGAAGCAUAUUGAGCUUGAUUAUCAUUUUGUUCGGGAACAAGUCAAGUUAGGCACACACAAUGUCCAAUUCAUUCCUUCAGUUGAUCAACCUGUGGAUGUCCUCACCAAAGGUCUUUACAAGCCUCACUUUCACGUUUUGCGUUCCAAACUUGUCACUUCGAGACUGCCAAGUUUGCUGGGAGGGUUGUUAGUCUAGAAGAAUUUGUAUAAGUUUUAUGUGGGCUAGGUUUUAUAAAUCCAUGUGGGCCAACGUUUUCUUGCACUGCAAGUAACUUUACUAGUAUGUAUUUGUAAUCUUUUGAAUCAAGGAAAAUAACGAAAUUACUAUUCUACAGAACUCUAACCGAUCUUCUAGUUGUGAAAAAAUAUUAAAGUUUUGCUUUCUCAGCAAAGUACAGAAUUUGUGCAAGACUAGGUUUGCAUGACAUCUUUUUUGAAGUUGCAUUAAACACAACUCCAAAUCAAGAAAACUUUACGUGUGCAUAGAAAUUUAGACGGUAUUAUGAAAUGUAUAAAUAUUUCAUCUGUACAGGUCAUUGAUGUCGUAGGAAUAUUGUGGGGCAAAUGAUAGAGCGGGAAAACAUAACUUUGAACAAGUAUAAUUUCAGGGUUGUAAAUAAGAUAAGCAACUCACAGUUAAAUCACUUGAAAACAUGUAAAUUCAUUCAGCCAGUUCUGCAAGAUCUGAACUAGUUCAAUAGCAAGUAAUUCUAAGACUACGAGAUCUAUGUGGUUAACUGGACCAUUGCCGAAAACUAGUCCAUUCCUCAAAAGUCUAAACUGUGUGCCAAGGGAAGAAGCCAAGAAUAAAAACCUGUAUCUGAUCUAAACUGAUGUUCCACAAUCAUAAUUUCAUCGAUCCUUCGAGUGAUAACCAAAAUUCUUCAAGUACCAAAACUCUGCUUCAGCUGCGUGAUUUGCUGUUGUUUUCUUAUUUGAAUGUGGAGAGCUAAAGCAUUCCAAAAGAGUUUUUAAGACGUCGUCUAUCUCAACAAUAACCUUGAAGGUGAACCUGUUUAGAACGGAUCAGUUAAACACCCUAACCUCCUCUUGGAUAAUGCAAGUAAAACUACAUGUGCAUGGUUAGCGAAGAUUGCAAUGGUUCAUAUUAUUAAAGAAGUAACAAAACAAGGAGUAAGAGAUUAGAUCGACUUAUAGUUGUAAAAUUAAAAGGCGGUGUACUAUAUCUGGAAAACAACAUUUCUUGAUGGGGCAACUAUGACUUGGGUCUGUAGAAUGUGAUCAACUAUAUUCUCAUGUGGGGCGGUCCUUCCUCCUUGCAGCACUCGUACGUAGGGUUCUUCCAUUUUAUUGCAACAACGCAUAUCUCAUACUACUGGGAUUUUGCUGAUAGUAGCUUCUUACCAGCGCCUGCUAAAUUGAUGAUAAUCGGAGUACGUCGUAGGAUUUCAUUCUUGGUCAACAUAUACAGAUGUUCUUCUGGAAGCAACUUUGAGCAGAACAAAAGUUUUGACCAUCGGAAUACAAUUACAACUUACUAGAAACAAAAUUGGAUUUCUCUAUACAAUUUAUAAUUUGUAAUUCAUAAAAGCAGCAAUAUCAAUUUGCUAACUUUAAACUCACUGCAUUCCAGGUUCAAACUCUUUCCUCUUCCAUAGUGUAAAUUGUAAAUUAAUAUGGUAAUAUCGCUUGUAUUUAAAACUACCACUGCAGCUCUGCUAAUGCGGUAAGCUGCUUUCAUAACAAGUUUAGCCCAAGUUCCAAGAAACUUUAAAAUCCUUCAUCCGAAAGCACCAGAAAUCUUUUUAUUUAAAGAAAAAAAGGUAAAUUACAUAAUAGCUCCUCAGAUUUGAGGUCUAUUACAACCUCAUACAACAUCUUUAAAACAUUUCAUUUUCAUACCUCACGUACUAUUUUAUUUCAAAAUAAUACACCUGUUACAUUUUCCAUCCAUUGAUCUGUUAAGCGCUGACGUGGCUGCCACAUUUGUGCCACAUGGUUGCCAAAUGUGUGCCACGUGGCAAAUUUUUUUUUUAAACCUAAAUCUUCUAAAUUAAAAAAAAAAGAUAAAAAACCAAAACAAAAGUUGAAACCCACAACCCAGCAAACCCACUUUCCCCCCUUCCCAGCACCUCCCUUCCCCACCCUCACCUUCCCCACCCCCACCUUCCCAAGCACCUCCCUUCCCCAUCCCCACCUUUCCCAGCACCUCCGUUCCCCCCCCCCCCGGCAGUAGACCCACACCCACGACUCCAUUACACUCCCCUGCCAUCCAAAACCCAAUGCUCUAGCCUCUCCUCUCCCACUCUCCGCCAAACCUCUCAUUCCCUUUUCGAUUGCAGUAGCCUGAUCGGGGAUUCAUCAUCGACCUUCCAAAUGUUCCUUCUUGCAGCCUCAAGAUCCUCUCCGUUUGCGAAUCCAAAGGUGCUUUCUGAUCUCCCUCCUCUGUUAGAUCUAAUCCAUUUUUCUUUUGCUUGUCACUUCUUGUUUGGUCCGCCAUUGAUUGAUUGAUUGAUUAUUUGAAAGUUAAUUUUAUGGAUGCAAAAUGUUUUGGUUUUGUGGGAAUAAUAAGCUUAUGGAAUGUCCCACAAUUUCACCACCCUCGCACCCGCGCCCACCCUCUUCCCUCAUCUACACACCCUACUCUUUAAAUCCACACCUAUUCCUCCCAUUUUCACGUCACGAACCCGGCGAUGGCGGCGUAGACUGGAUCUGGGGUUUUUUUUUUUUUUUUUUUUUUUUUUUUGGUUGUAGGUACGGGGUUUUUUUUUUUGGGCCCCUAACCUUGGGCCUAGCAGCCAAAUAAAAAAAAGGGAGGGGAAGGAUAAGACUUUGGGCUGAAGUAACAAAGGAAAAUUACAAAUUUUUUAAAUGCGACACUCAAUAUUUUGGUCCCUCAAUAACUUGACAAAAAUAAAGGCACCUCCCUCAGUAUUCUUUCUUGAUCAACUUGGUAGACUCUCAUUACAUGCUAUUACACUUCAGCACGGAAGUUUCCUGAUUACUCAAUGACUUAGAUUUUUCAAGUCUCUAACCGAGAAGCUUUCCUCACUCGGGAACUUGGGGAACACUUUUGUAUCAUACUUUACAAAUUCUGAAACUAUCAAGCACCGGUUAACUCAAUACCUUCUAAGUGAUAGCGAUUUUACCACUUGUAAAACAAAGGUUAAACCAUAGAAAAUUCUUGCAAGAGAACAAGUGUUUGUAGUAUAGAAUGGCUCAAGGUCGAUCUCCUCAGGGACUGAUAUAAACAAUUUGCGAGUUUUUUUGUAUUUAACUUAUUUAACUCUAAGAACUACACUAAUUUGACGAAACUAAAUACUACUGGAUGUGACUUAAACAAAUAUCUAAAAUGGGAAUUGGCUUAUAGGAAUAGUGAUUCAACUAAACAAAACAAGUAAAAUGAGCAAAUUCAAGAUAAAAUAAAUGAUUGAAGAAAAAUAGAUUGACAAUAUGCUAGAGUUCAACCUUUACCAACAACACUCCUACAUAUCUCUUCCAAUUGCUUAAAUAAUUGAAAACACACAUGCUUGAAGGUUGGAUUUUCCUUGUGUAUGUUUUACUUGUGACAUUCAAGCUAAAACGCAUACCACUACAUGCAACUUAUCCAUGACAUUUGGAUUAAAUAUAAACAUGAGUGAUUCAUUAAUCUUGGUGAAAAUCCUUUUGUUAAACCAUGUAAUCCCUAAGAGCAUGAUAUUUACCUUAGGAGAGUACAAUCCUCAAUCACAAGAAGCACAACCAAUUUUAACGUGACAUUCGUUCAAAAUUGCAUCCGAUAACUUUUUUAAGCAUCCUAAUGGUGAUCAAGCAUCAAGGUACAUAGAUAGUUUAAUUCAAUGAUUAAAAAUAUCAAAGCACGCAUGUAACAACACUUAAGCAAUUGAAAGAGAAAUCUACGUAAUCAUGUUGCGGCUCAUGGCCUCACUCUAGCGAAAAGAAAUUAGUUACACAUAAUUAUUUGAAUACAUAGGAAAUUAUCCAUGAAGAAUCAAAGAAAAAGACAACCCUUUUUUACAAGAGGUUAUCUCCUUGUGCUCUCCGAUCCUCCUUCCAUGUGGAGCUGCGGCUCCCUUAUUUUUCUGCUAUGUUGCUUGCUGCUUCUUUUGUUCUCUGCCUUCUGCCCUUCUUCUCUGCCGUGCUCUCCCUCUCUCGUCUAAUGCGUUCCAUCUGCCUUCAGUUAUUGCCUUCAACAAAAGGCAAUAAUUUUCAAAACCAACCAAAGCUACAAGUGGAAAACCAACCAAACUCCACUUCAUAGUGGGUACCCCAUGAUCUCAUAUUUUCUACCAUCUUUUCUUUCCCACAUCCGUGUGUUUUCCUUGCCUUUAACCAAAAGCUUCUGUUUUUCUAAUGCUACAAAGGCCAAAUGAGUGAGAUUGAAAACCCCAUUGUCUACCAAGUGAUGAUGACAAAGUAAAGCACAAAACAAGUGCUAUUACUUUCUUAUUUUUAUUAGCCACAUGGAGUGGGCAGAUUUGGCCAUAACGUUUAGUAGACCAAAAGUCCUUAGAUUUCAAUGAAUGAGAUGUCCUUAGAAAGCUUGAAAGGUCAGCUUCAAAAGCUAAGAAGGAAGUUUCCUCAAUUUAGGCUUUAAUUAUGUACUUAUCUCUUGUGCAACCUUCAGAGGUCCAAACUGCCUUGUCAGCACGGUGACCUGUCUUCAUUCUUAAGCUGGGAACAAUUGGCUGGGAAUUUUGAGCUGAAAAUUUGAUAUGAUCAUCUUUGAUCUCUUGUGAAUCAGCUCCAACUGGAAUCACUAAAAACUUCCAACGUUUGCAUACUUUUCCACCAAACUCAAUCUUGCUGCUCCUAGAAACACAAAAUGGCAAAACUCAUAAAUACUCAAAACUUCCAACUAAACUAGACAAGAAAAGAAAUAGAAAAAGGGGAAAAUAUAUAGUAUAAAUAUUGGUUCAUCACUAAGACCUAGUGAAGGAUUUGUAUUAAGGCACAUGCGGAACCAUAAGAGUUUAUAUCCAAUCAGAAGGACAAUUACAACGCGACACGUGUCAACAUCCAAAUAAAACUCCUAAAGUUCCACAUCGAUCGCAAACGAAAGUAUGCGACUCUCCUCAACUAUAAAAAGAGACCAUUCUCCUACAAUCAAUCCCUAAAUGAUAUUAUUCUACUUAACCCAUUAAUAGAGCUCACUAAUGAUGACCAUGUUGAACUUUUGUAUUAUGUAAACUCUACAUUAUCAAUGAGAAGUCCUCUACUCUUGUGGACGUAACCCAGUUUAGGAUGAACCAUGUACAUCUUGUGUUUGCUUCCUUAUCUUUAUUCUGUACAUAUUACUUGCACUAGGCUACCGAAGCAAUCUUGCAAAGGUCACACAUCGACACUUUACGUUGUUCCAUAGUUAAUAUGAGUUCAUGCAUCAAUAAUUAGCAACUUGGUUACAAAAUGGUCAGGCCUUCAGUCUGAUAGGCAUAAAGUUCUAGCCAGAAUGUUGAAGCUAAUUAUUCCCUUGAAAGUUAAGUUGUUCAGCUCGUUGCUUCUUCAAAACAAGCUCCAAACAAGGAGCAAAUUAAGUAGAUUUAUACUAGGUAAUGAUAAUACUUGUGUUUUUUUUUGUAGCAAUGCUAAUGAAGAUCAAGAUUAUAUGAAGUGUAGUUUUGCUACUGAUACCUGGAAGCUAAUUCCUAAUCUUGACCUUCAAAAUUCUCAUAUGGUAACUUCAACCUUCUCAGUUGGCUCUACUCUUCGCUAUCUGAUGAGUCUAAGUAUUUACCAAGUUAAAUAAAUCCUUGUUAAUUUUUUGACAGAUAUGGAAUAACAGAAACAAUGCAAUCUUUAAAAAUACAAGGCCCCAUCAUGCGAAAGUUCCCAUGUUAACUGCUGGAAUUGGGAUGGACUUCUUCAAUAGUAACUUGAGUCCAGGGAAGAAGAAUCCAAAGUUUGUGAAUGAAGUUAUCAAAUGGCAUCCUCCUGACUCGGGUUCUGUCAAAAUUAAUUUUGAUGCAUAUGGGCUGGAAACAAUUCGGCAACCGGGUUUCUAAUUCAUGAUGACAAUGGAUGCCUUAUAAUUGUUGGUGCUCAUGCAUUUUUGGCAGUUGUACCAUCACGGUGGCUGAAGUUCUAGCUCUCAGAGAUGCUUUUAAAUUUGCCUUUUAAAUUUGCCUACCACAAGGUUUUCACUAAAAUCUCAGUAGAGGGAGAGUCAAAGCUUGUUAUAGACAGGGAACUAUAAUAAAGGUUAUAUAAGACCUACAUACAGUGUAUGUUAGACUGUCCCUCCUGCCCAACUGAGCAUCAUUGUGAACUAAUAGACUGAAAUUAGCAUGGAGCGGGAAGGAAGAUGUGGUGUUCCCUGGAGAAUUCAAGACACGGUUGCAGAUAUUCAAUGGUUGGCUUCCUCUUUCAGUGCUUAAGGGAAGCAUGUUUAUCGGAAGGGAAAUUUUGUGCUAGUGCUGUGACUAGUUUAGGUCUUUCUUUUCUUAGUAUGUAUGCUUGGAAGCGUAUACUCCCUGUGCAAGGCACACCUGCUUAAUCCCUGAAAAUAAAAAAUCGCUCCUUGGAAGAUUGUGCCAUAUGUGUCAAUGAAUUUGAUUAUAAGUCUUCACUAAGCAUUAACAUUCAACAACCAGAAAAUGGUAAGUUUAAAAGAAUAAAUUAAGAAUUGGAAUUUUUUUGGCUUGCUGUGCUUGAGUUGCAGAGUUGGAAAAAAAUUUGUUAGCCUAGUGCACCCAAAUCAAACCCACAAAUGGAAUUAACAGAAUUAAGAUCAUGAGAGCGAAUUUUGAGUUUUAUAUAGUAAAAUAAUGACUUUUGAGUUUCAUGGGGCUAAAUGGGAUCAAAAUCGAGUUUCAGGGGCAAAAUGGAGCGAAUUUUAUGUUUUAAAGAGUAAAGUGGCGACUUUUGAAUUAUAAGAGCAAAGUAAUAUUAAAAUCAAAUUUUAGGGAGCAUGGCUAAAAAUAAGUCUUCAUAAUACCAUUGUAUAUAAAAAAUUUGGAUCGUACGGCUUUGAAUAGUACGGCUCCGUGUAAAAUUUGGGUACGCAAUUCUGUCAUUUUGGUUUUGGCAGGCAUUAAGGUUCGGUUGAGGGUGGUUAUUACACAGAGAGAGAAAAAAGAGAGAGAAGGGGGGGGGGCAGCUUAGAGAGGGUGGAAGUGGGGAGUAAGGUCCCUGUGUGCACGAUUUCCUCAUUAUUUUUCCACUGUGCGGGCAUGCAGAGUGGGGUUUGGUGUGAGUGGCUGUUAUAGAAAGAGGGAGAAAGAAGCCGUGUGAUUUAGAGAGAGAGUGAGGAGUGGGCAUGUUGAACAAGUGCAAGUUAGGGUCGUUUGUACGGGGUCUUUGAUUGGGUCAGUGGAAGGGGCAAGUACGGCCCUCGUGUGCACGACUUCCUCAUCUUCUUUCCACGGUGUGUCUGUAUGUGGUGAUUCUGUGCGAGAUUUGUUGAUUGACAAGAUAAAAAAUUGUUUUAUAAUAUGUGAUUUACUGUUUGGUUAGGUUUCAGCCAAUGCUUUUGUAUUUUUUUUAUAUAAAUCAGGGGAUUUAGAGAGUGCUUUCUAUGUUCUCUUUCUUUUACUGCUUUAAAGACUUCCCUAUUCUCAUUUUCUUUUUCUAAGUUCAGUUCUGCUAUCCUCUGCAUUUUUCUCUUCAAUGGUGGGUUGGCUCCUUGGGUGGUAUAACUGCGUUUUGUUGUUUAGUUAAGUGUAAAGUAGCAAAAGACAGAGACUUGUCUGCUGUCAUUUUUAUUCUUUUUGGGUUGGUUUUGUUAUUCUGUGCGUUUUCCUUAUCUUUGAGUGGAUAUUUAAUGUUAGGCUUUGUGCAAUUGGAGGCCCAAGAACCCAAAAAGUAGAAGGAGAGUUGGGCUCGGACAAGUUGACAUCCCAGGAAGAAUUAAAAAUCAUUUUGGCAAGGAAUAGGCAGCAAGCCUAUGUGAGAAGUGACACUUAGAGGGAAGCUCAUCCCUAGUAAAAAAAGUACUUUUCAAGGGCAUGGAUAGGUAAAUAAAUUGUGACUCACUUUGCUCCGGAGGCCAUCACCAAAAGGUGAGGCUUGGACAGUCGGGCUAGAGAGUCUAUAAAAGCAACAAGGGACACAAGGAAGAAGGACACUCAACCAAUCAAUCAAAAAAGGGGUAUAGACCUGUAAAGCAAGCACCAAGGAGGAUGUCAAAAGAAAUAGAAAAAAAGUCAAAGAAGAAAUUGAGAAGGUAGUAAAGGUAGGCUUUAUUAGGCUUGCAAAUUAUGUAGAGUGGUUGGCCAACAUUGUACCUGUACUGAAAGCUAUAACUAAUGCCAUUCGAUGUUGUGUUGAUUAUAGAAAUAUAAACGAAGCAACUCCCAAGGAUGAAUGCCCUAUGCCUAUGGUUGACCUAUCCAUUGAUGCAGUUGCAAACCACAAGGUUUUAUCUUUUAUGGAUGUAAAUGCUAGAUAUAAUCAGAUAAAAAUGGCCAAAGAAGACAUACAUAAGACAACAUUUAGAUGCCCAGGGCAUAUACGAGCUUAUGAAUAUGUUGUCACACUUAGGGCUAAAAAAUGUUGGUGCUACUUAUCAAGGGGUGAUGAAUGCUAUUUUUCAUGAUUUGAUCAGACAUAGCAUGGAAGUAUACAUUAAUGACAUAGUGGUGAAGUCUAGAACUGAAGACCAGCACCUAAAAUACCUCAGACAAGCCUUGCUGAGAAUGAGAACCCACAAGUUGAAGAUGAAUCCUAGAAAGUGCACCUUUAAGGUUAGAUCAUGCAACUUUUUAAGGUUCUUGGUCCAUCAAACAGGUGCGGAAGUGGACAAGAACAAGGCUAGGGCUAUAAUGGAAUCACCUCCCUCUCCCCCCCCACUAACAAAGUGCAAUUUAAGAGGUUGCUAGGGAAAAUUAACUUUUUGAGGAUAUUCAUUUCUAAUCUUGCAGACAAGAUCCAACCUUGACUCCUUUGUUCAGAUUGAAUAAUCAAGACAAGUUUGAGUGGGGCCCUCAACACCAAGAGGAAUUUGGUAAAGUGAAGACUUGUCUAGCCUUUCAUCCAAUGCUCAUGCCUCCCCAGAAGAACAAGAAACCUUUGAAGCUCUACAUUUCAGCAUCCGAGAAAUCAAUUGAGAGUUUAUUGGCUCAGAAUAAUGAAGGGGAAAGGAGCAGGCGAUAUACUACCUCAAUAGGAUCCUUACCGGGGUAGAAACAAGAUAUACCCCAAUUGAGAAAUUAUGCUUAGCCUUGUACUUCACUGCCAGCAAAUUAAGGCACUACAUGUUGCCUUGCUAUAUCCAUAUAAUUGCCAAAAUUGAUGUGAUCAAGUACAUGCUGUCCAAGCCAAUGCUAACUGGAAGGAUUGGGAAAUGGAUCUUAGCUAAGCAAUUGCAAUUGUAAACUUCAAAGUUCGGUUUUCAAUAUGUACCUCAGAGGGCAGUAAAGGAACAAGCAAUUACAAACUUCCUAGCUAAGCACCAAGAGUCCAAUAAGGAUCUCGUCAACAUCCCUGAAACUUUGGAAGUAGCUAACCUCUAGAUCCCACCUAGUAAAGCUCAUUCAGGCAAGGAGGAACGGAUACAAAGGAGAAGUCUCCCUUUUAUCUUUGAGAAGGGAUUUAGCCUAGAUGUAAUGACUAAAGAACCUGAGAUAGAGGACUAGAGAACAUUUAUCAUCCAGUACUCGAAGGACCCUUCUUUUCCCACUAGUAAGAAGAUCAAACGACAUGAAAUUAAGUUUGUAAUGUGGGAUAAAACUUUGCUAAGAAAGACUCCAUAUGGGCUUUGUUGAAAUGCUUGGGGUCUGGAAGAAUCAAUAAGGGUAAUGGUUGAAGUACAUAAUGGCAUUUAUGGAGCACACCAACUAGGAACAAAGAUGAGGUGGUUGCUGAGAAUAUAUGGCUACUUCUGGCCCGACAUGGAAAAAGAUUGUAAAGCUUAUGCUAGAGGUUGUGAGAAAUGUCAAAGACAUGAACCUCUCUAGCACACACCAUUAGUGGCCUUGAAUCCAGUAGUAAAGCCAUGGCCUUUUAGAGGGUGGGCCAUGGACUUUAUUGGGCAAAUAUACCCAACAUCCAACAAAGAACACACCUUCAUAAUUGUGGCAACUGAUUACUUUACUAAAUGGGUUGAGGCUUCAGUUGUGAGGACAAUUAGUUUAGCUACUAUGAUGAAGUUCAUUGAGACCAAAAUCCUACAUAGAUAUAGGGUGCCCGAAACGAUUGUUACAGACAGAGGGCCAUCAUUUAUUUCAAAAGAAGUAGAAGAGUUUGCAGCUAAGUUCAAGAUAAAGAUGAUCCAGUCUAGCGCUUAUUAUCCUCAAUUUAAUGGUAAAGCAUAAGCUAGCAACAAGAUAUUGGUGAACAUUAAAAGAAUGGUGGUAGAUAGCCUAGAAAGGUGGCAUGAAAAGUUGGGAGAUACUCUUUGGGCUUAUAAAACUUCAAAAAGAGCAGGAACUGGGACCACUCCUUAUACAUUGACAUUCGGGGCAAGAUGUAGUGCUGCCUAUGAAGAUUAAUGUAAGUUCUUUGAGGCUUUGGAACCAAUUUAGCCUACAUAGUGAUUUAUUUAUUUAGGCCAUCUGUCAAGGAAUUGAGGAUUUGGAUGUUACCCAAAUUGAAGCUCUAAACAAGAUUCAAGAAGGGAAAAAGGUUGUUGCUCAAGCUUACAACAAGAGAGUAAGACUUAAGACUUUUAAAGAAGGAGAAUUGGUAUAGAAAGCAAUUUUGCCAUUGGGAGCUCAAGUUAGAGGUUUUAGGAAUUGGAGUUAUACCUGGGAAGGCCCUUUUACAAUUACCAAAGUAUUAGACAGAUGAGUGUUUUACUUGGCAGAUUUAGAGGGAGAUUUACAGAAACAUCCAAUCAAUGCUAAAUUUCUAAAAAAGUACCACCCAACUCUUUGGGAUAUUAGAGACUGUUAUAUUAGUGAAGUCUAAUACUUAGAGAAGGGGUGAGGGCCUUUUAUAUGUUUGAAGCAGUUGUUUCUAUUAGGAAAAUGUAAAUAAGUAAGUAAAAUAGUGAAGCAGUAAGAGAUUUUUUCAUUCAAUGAUUGGGGAAAGUACAGAAGCCCUAAGUUAACAAAUUUACAUCUUUAGCCAAGCCAACUAUCUUAGAAUGAUAAGUCUGCAUGAUGGUGAAAAUGCAACCCGGCUCUUCUAAAGCUAUAUUUUUAUUGGCUAACUGAGCUUCAGACUCCUCUGCUUCAUGGUUUACUCUAUUUGCCUCAUCGAUCUUCUUGUAUAACUUGCUCGAGAGGGUCAUCUGCUCAGCCUUCAUAGCAGAAAGUUGUUCCUCUAGCUUAUGGAUCUCGGCAACUACCAUCAUUAUUCGAUCCUCCAUGGUCGAGCCCUCCUCCACCAGCUACUGUAGAGUAGUGGAGGUCCUAGUGUGUUUUUCCUUGUAACACCUCACCAUGUUGGCUUACCUUUCUACCUCAAGAUGCUGAUCCCUCAAAGCCCUCAGGUUUUCAAAGAAGGAGAUGAAGGAUUCAUAUUGCACCUUAGUCAUUUGCUGGGCUUGACAUAAAUCAGUGAGAGCUCUCUUAGCAUCUUGAAAAGCCUUAAGGUUGAAGGAGGUAGAAACGUUCCUCUGCAUCCAUUCUGUAAAGACUCUGCGUUGAUCUUGAAGAUGUUGAAGCUCAAAAGGGCGCAUUGGGGAUCUUAGCUUUGUCCUAAUUUGCUCGAACUCUCUAACUAGUUUGGGUAAAUAGGUUGUGGUUGGAAGAGAAGCCAGAGGGGGAGGUAUCAUGCCAACACCACCAACUGCAACAACAGCAAUGGUAACCUCAAUAGGGAUAGAAUGAGAAGAUUCAGCAACAACUACUUUUUUAGGUCGAGGGAUUGGGAUCUCUGAGACUUUAAUAGCUCGAGAAGGCCAAUGAUGAACUACCCUACUCGCAGCAGGUUGAGAAGACAUGCCCGAGCCCUCACCAGAGGCUUGUUAAAACAUAAAAAAGAAUAGUUAAUGGAGUAAUCUAGACCCCAAAUGAGGAAAAGAUAAGAUUGCAAGUAUGUUUAUACCUAAGAAGAGCCUUGUGUUUUGGGAGAAGGAUGUGUUGCUGUAGCUUCCUUGGAAGUAAUUGGUUGGCUUGCCUUAGUAGAUACAUGAGAAACCCUAGGACUAGUCACCUCUUAGACAACUGGUAUCUCAGGGACUCAGGGUUCCCUAGCAGCUGAAGUAGGAUGAUUAGUAGUCUCUGUCAGGUGGGAAGACUGGUAAAGACAUUAAGAAAAGCUUAAAAUUAAGAACUUACAGAGGCACUGUCAUCUUCUACGAAGUUGAGUAUCUCUCCAGUUGUUGGAUUAAAUUGAGAGGUGGGGUCAUUACCAUUGCUGGAUGAAUGGAAAAAGAAGAAGGAAAUGGUGCUUGUCCGACCGGAGGUGCUAGGGUGCUUCCCCUUACCUGGAAAAUAGUAGAAGUAAAGUCAAUGUCUAAAACUUAGAAAUACAAAGUUGACGAGUUUUGAAAAGAAGAAUUUUACCUUUGAAGGCUCAGCUCCAGGAGAAGAAAGAUGCACAGGUUCGGGCUGGAGGUAAAAAAGGCUCGGUUUGAGAAGUCCUUUAUGCUUUGGAACCCUGUUUUGGAAGACAACAGAACUAGCUAAGUACAAGAGAUGAAUUUUAGAAAUAAUUAAGUGCCCAAAGAUUCAACAAAACUACCUUCAACUCCUCCAAGAUCUUGGCAAGGACCUCAUUGUUACUUUGCUGCCCUUUCAUGCCUGCCUUCAUCUCUUGAGGGGUGGAAUCAAACUUUUUGCUAAUAACAGGUCUUAAUUAAAGGAAAAGGCAGGAUCAGUUCAAAACUUAAGGAGAUGAAAUUAGAUAAAGAAAUAUCAAGUUUGAAUCACUUAUUGGCAUACUUUUGUUUUUUCUUGCCCACUUUAGUUGGGAGGGUAGAAGAAAAUCUAGAGACUUGGUUCUUUUCUUGGUUGGAGUAGCUCAUGGAGUAGGUGGAUCAUGCCUAGCUUGGGGCCUUCCCUCGGGCUUAGAAUCAAAAGAUUUUACAACAUAAGAUCUUGCCCGACAAGGAACCCUGGUCUCUACUUCGGGACCAGCUUCUGUCUCUGAUUCACUUGACAUUUCAGAGAUGUUCCCAGUAUCCUUAGGACCAUGGCUAGAGUCCACCUUUUGUCUAGCUGCCUUUGCAGCAGCUUCCUGAAGAACCAAGGCAUCAACAACCUUCUUUUCUGGCUCGACAUCCACUUCCUCGGUGUUGCAUUGGGCUGCAAGAUCAAGAAAAAAGUCAGCAAUCACAAACGAUGAAAAUAUGAAGUAAAGGAAAGAGGCAACAAUGUAGGUUACUUAUCAGAAAAAGUGGUUUUUCUGAUUGAUGACCUUCUUCCAGCUUAUUAUUUUCUCUUAGGAAGAGACUUAAAGAAAACCUGCCUGAAGAUCCUAACAUGGGCUUCUCUGACAUCUCCAUCAUACUUCCUAUACAACUUUGCCUCCCACCAGGUGGUGAACAAAGACAUGCACUCAAAGGUAAAGGUCGCGAGCUCCUUAUGUGCUAUCUUACUCAUUACCUUUAAGCUAUGCCUGUUUGCUCGAAAUGUAGCCUCUGAAGGAGAACGGAAGCGGUAGAAGGUUCCACACUGGACUGAGUUGAAGAAGAGGAUUGUGAUUGCAUGUCUAAACUCCAGUUGCUUACCAUAGAAGUUAGGGUGGUAAACUUCCAACCCGCGUUAGUAACCCACUCGGUCGCUCCUGACUCUUCAUGCCAAAUCCAUUUGUUGGAUGCAGCUAAUGAAUUUCUCCUUGCAGAAACAGCUGGUAUCCUCCCUAAACGAAUCAUGAAAUAUCCGAGAACCAGAAAUACUUCAUAAGCACUGAGGCAUCCCAUUCGAGAUUAGCUCGAGUUCUAUAGAUUCUAAAGAAAUAAAGGCAAGCUAAGGUGGAAUGGUUGGCGAUGAGAGCCUUUGUCAGAAUCUGGGCAGGAGCUACUCCAUCUGGAAACUCCAAGUUGGCAGCCCUGAAUUCUAGAAAGUACCAUUAAAGUCAGAGCUGCACCAUCCAGGUAGCUCCAUUGACAUUGGUUUCAAAGGGGUAGUCCCUUGUCAUCUCAUAAAGCAGAUGAUAGAGAUGCACGCGAAAGAAGGGGCCGGUGGCGACAUCGUCAAAGGAAUGCAGCACCUCAACCAAAUGGACCUAUUCCAGCUUUACUCAUUUGGAUUUGUUGGGAAGCACAUGUUUAUUCAACUAAUAUAGGAGAAAGUUCAUGUGCUCAUGAGCUGGGUCAGCAGUGGGUGAAGAACAGGCUAAACAUCUUUUUAGCAAAAGGGAUGAAGCUCGCGAAGGAGGUCCCAUAGCUCUUAAAGGUGGUAGAGUUGUAUUCCAAACUGGUGAUAGACUGAGAAACCUUUAAGCCUUCAGUAGCAGGGUGAGAGGUUGAUUACCAAUCAUGUGUAAAGUCUAUACAGCUGCCCGAUGGCCUUAAAGAAAAAAACUGAGCCAUAUCUAGGAUGGGGGCAGUCAUGGGGCCCUUUCUGAAAUCGAAGGUAUUGGUCCCUGUGUUCUGAUAUGAAAUAUUCUAACACUCAAAUUAAAACUCUAUGAUUGUAGCAUAUGAAAGUAGGGAUCGUUUUAGGCUGGGGAUUAGAAGGGCUGCUAAUCUAAACAAAUUAAACUCUAAAAUACUAAACUAGGCUUGAAAACACUAAACUAGACUCUUAUGACUCAAAACUGACUCAAACUACUUAAAACAACACAAAACAAGCAAACUGACUCCAAACUAACACUAUGACGAAUUCUAAACUAGAAAGACUCAAAACAUUAAAAGAAAACAGAUUAUGACUCAACUAACAAGACUUAAUAAAUGGGAGAUUGUUUUUGACGAAUUUAAAACUUAAAACAGAAACUUUGCAUAAAACACUUUAUAAAAAAUGAAUUUGGUGAAUUGAAAAGGAUGAAAGGCGAGUUAGAUGGUCCUUUUCCACACAUGACAUAUGCAUACAAACCAAUUUCCAGUUAUUAUUCCUUUAGACUAUGAAUGACAAUACCCCAAGUUAACUAUGAUAGCACAAAUUAACCAUCAGAUUUUUCUUAACUCAUUGAAUUGGAUGGAAUACGCAUCGCAACCAAAUUAUCUUUAUCAAGUUCCCUAACUAUGAAAAGCAUGAUAGAAAGACAUAUCAAAGGUCAUUAAGUUCUUUGAAAACCAUAAGCAUUGACGAGGCAUUCGUAACUAUGAAAAGAAUGAUACUCCUGCCAAUGAUUUACUUAACACAAUCAUGACUAGUGACUUCUACUACUUAUGAAUAUAAGUUCAUAACGAUUUGGUGAAACUCCCUUAUACUCUAGCAUCAAAUUCAUGCAUGCAAAUUAAGUGUUGACCCUCAGUCUACAUACAUAAACAAGUUUUGAUAACUCAAAUAAGCAAAUCACAUUCAAGACUCAAGAAACAAUAACUGGAUGUAAUCAAUUCAUAUAAAAUGCUCCAACAAUCCAACGUCUUGAAUGGCAAGCACGGCUCCAGGGGUUUCCUCUCCUAUCUUCUUGCAAAGCUGCAUCACUAGAAGGAUGAAUGUGUAUGAGGGAUGUAUGGGAUGAAUUUGUGGUGAAUGGUGGGUUUGAAUUGUGGUUUCUGAGUGUUGCUAUUAGGACUCCAAAUCAUCCAGGAAUAAGGAUACUUCUAAUCAGAUUCCAGGGAGGAAAAAAAUUAAUAUGUUUAGAUGGAUUAGGUUAGAUUACAAUCGUGCAUGUUGAAUUGUCAUCAGAAAAUUGUUACAUUCCAUCAACCAAGCAUGCCUUUUGUAACUUUUAUCGGUGAACGUAGUGGUUUGAAAUUGGAGUUAUCUCUGAGGGCGAAAUGGAUGUUGAGGAAGGGUUGUCAAGGCUACUUAGCUCAUGUAGUAAUGACUGAGGAGACUCCAGCUCUUGUGGAAGACGUUCGAGUAGUUAGACAAUUUCUUGAUGUUUUUCCCGACGAUUUACAAGACCUACCAUUGGAUCGUGAAGCGGAGUUCACUAUCGACCUAAUUUCUGAAGGAUUAUUUUGUUAUUUUGUGAAAACAUGUUCAUUUAAGCAACAUCAAUAAGCAUGCAAUUAACAAUUAAAGGCGGAAUCAUGCUAGCAUGCGCUUAAAAACAAAACAUUAACCAAGAAAUUCAAAGCCUAGUAGAUUGGUGAACCAAAACUCAACUCAAAACAAAGUGAGUUGAAAUUGUACCUUUGUAGAUUCCUCUUUGCAUAAGCAAAGGCUAAUCACCCAAAGAGAGGGCCUUCAUUCCUUGCAUAAUAAAUCUAUGGAUUUAGAUGGAUGAAUAGGUUUCUCCAAGUUCCCAAAAUAGGGAACCUCUAAGUCUCUUCACCAACGAGAGAUUGGAGAAUAAAUGAGUGACCUUGGAGUAGUGGGAUUGCAAGAUGCACCCCCAAGGUGGCCGGCCUCUUUAGAGAGAAAUGGAGAGACAUGUUCUCUCCAAUUUUCUCCAAAACAAACCCUUAAUGAAUUUUGGCUAUAAAGUCAUAUUUAUACCUUUAUUCAUUUGAGUGGCAAACUUGUAAAUAAGUCCAAAUUCACUACCCUAAACAAUAUGGCCGGCCAUUAGGAUAUUUUGGACUAAUUGGGCCUUUGUGAAUCAUUAUUCAUUAAGUUGUCAUACAACUUAAGUUAAUGGGCUUGACGUUCGAAGCCCAUUGGGCCUUAAGGUCCAAAACUAUCCCGAGGUCUUUAACGAACUUAUUCGUUUGAUUAAUUAACAUAUUAAUUAAUCCUUGCCAUAAAUAAAUGAUUAAACCAUUUAAUCAUUCUUACUCAUCCCCAUUGUUUCUUCAAUCUCCACCUUACACGGUGUGCGAUCCAUUAGGUUCCUUUUAGCGAGGCAGUGGGCGAUUAAAACCAUUUUACAUCGAUUGUGAAUUGAAACUUACUUUCAAUUCUCCCUUUAGUGAUUACACACGUUUAGGGCUUCCACAAACCAUGAGUGACACCUUGCAGCAUAUCAUGGUUACCCAAGUUAAUCAGAAGAGGUAGAGAAAACCUAUUCAGUUUGGGAUUACAAAUGCAAUACGGUCUUUCUCUAAUACAAUACUCUUGACCACAUUGUUUGGUUUGAUAGUUUAUUUAUUCAUGUCUACUAUCCAAUGUGAUUCGUGUGCUUAUAUGAUUACCUUGAAUGUGAUUUAGAACGACUUUUCUAAAUCUCAUUCAUACUCUGGCCAGAGAUUCUAAAUCAUAUCAUAGAGUAUUCUCCCUCAAACAGUUUGAAGGUUAGAGAUCCCUUGUUGCGCAUUCACUUGCCUCCAUGGCUAAGUGGCUUAACCCCAACGAUUCCAUGGACACCCCGAUGGGGUGACUUUGACAUAAUCAAAGAUCAAGGACUUAACCACAAGACAACUGUGAUGCCUCAGGUCAAAGGACUACUUUGCAUUAUCCCAACCAUGAGUUCUCAUGUGACAUGAGUAUGAGAACUCUUCGUUGAUCGCGUUCAGUGAACUCAUUCUCUACUGAGCACCUACGUACUUGUCUUGAUGUCACACACACCAAUGACUCGAGACUAGUCACUCUCCCUGAGAGAAGACAUAGCACGUACCGAUCUUGACGGACUGUCAAUGCCCAAUUGGCAAUCCUAUGAUCAGGAACAUUUAGGAUGUGUCUACGAAAGAAUGGUCUCAUGAAUCUAACUUCAUUAGAUUACAUUCUCCCAAUCACAUAUUCCUUGGACUUUAUCGUUUAAGCAUAUAACAUUUAUAUAAGACGGCUCAAACAAUAAUUUUUGCCCUUUAUAUUAAACUAGAUUAGUUUAACAUGUGAAAUGUCCGUAAAGCAUCAUCACAUGAUUGGUUUUAGGGCACAUUUCCAACAAUCUCCCACUUGCACUAGAGCCAAUCAGCUUGGUCAUCAGUGAUGAUACCUCUUCUGUAGUCAUUUCAUAAAUGGCUGAGUAGUAGGCCUAGACAAUGGAUAUCUAUAUGUUAUCCAUAGAAGCAACCUUGAGAAUAUCGACGUCACCAUUAUACAUGAUUCUCAAUCAUGUGGUUCAGUCUCUCAUUUGAGUGCGGACCUUGAUGAGACCUUGAUUCCCUGGCUUGAGCUAUCGCCCUAUUAGUGUCAUAGUGUCGAUACACUAGAUACACUUUCUGGUUGGAACCGAAUAGAGAGUUCAUAAAUGAACUUUCUCAUCCAAACAACAUUGUUGUAAACUUCUAUAUAUGGCAAUAUAUUUUGCAUUCAUAAUGGAACACACUAAAGUCAUUACUUUAAUGUUUCCAUCCAAAUAUCUCUUUAUUCAUAAUAAAGAGAUAUAUGUUUAUCUCUUCAUUCAUAAUGAAGAAACAUCCAAUGAUGGAUUAGAUUCAUAAUCUAAUACAUUUACGCUUCCAUUACGUUACUCUAAUUCUUCCUCGAUCUUUGAGGAAUUAUCCUUUAGUAUUUCUUAAAUACUUAAGGACUCACUUGACAGUUGCCAUGGUUCUGAUCCUGGGCUUGCACUGAUAUCGUCUUGUACCAUUCUAGGUACAACUCAUAUCAAUGUUUUUCAUACAAUAUGAAAUACAUAAAUCACCUUUAUGCGUAUGCAUAAAGGAUUCUAUUUACGCAUUAUUUCUUUGGGAGUCAAAAGGGCACGUUCCCUUUGAGAAGGGCAACUUCCUAGUCUCACUAGAGUUGUUCUUCUAAUUAAAGUUUAUCAUCAUAUGAGAAACUUCCUAGCAUCUUUUGUCUAUCAUUAGGGAUUGAUAUAAUCAAAUUAUAUCCUAAAAUCUAUCAAUAUAGAUUUCCAUCCCAUGUAUAUAGAUUAUGUCUCCCAUAUACAUUCUAUCUUUAUAGAAUGUUUAAAGUCAUAACUUUAACGAAGAAGUAUUCAUUUCAUUUCCAAAAUUAACAUAUCAUAUAUAUAUUUAAAUUUUAGGAACAUGAUUAACUCCCACUAAUCUUUUGUAAACCUAGUAAACAAAAGAUUCAUUUACAUCUUUAUGAGAAAGCAAACGAUUUGACCUUUCUCUCAUAAGACGCUUAUAGCUCCCACUAGCUUGCUAAGAUCCAUGAUGGAUGGAUCUCUACAACUUACAUGUCUUGUGAUUCAUAGUUUUAGACAUAUAUUAUCAAGACUAUCUUAAUAAUGGUUUCGAAAACCCAAAUUAUGUCCAAACAUUGAAUCACCAUUUAGUUGUAGCUAGCAAUCUUCGAAUUAAUUGAAACUAAGACUACGUCAAAGAUGGUUCCUUCAAAGUCAACCAUUCUCUUUGAUUGUAGUCACCUUAAGCUACCAAUUAGCUUAUAAAGGUUUCAUUAUUUCGGGUCAAAUGGUACUUUACCAUUUCCUUAAGUAUAUAUCAUAUAUAUACACUCAAUGUAGUCAUAAGGAUUUUCAUUCUUAUUUCUUUCGAAUUAAGAGGUGCAACUCUAUGACAUAGUCAUAAAGUUCAAACCAUUCAACUGAGACGGUUUAUAAAUCCUUCUCGACUACCUUGGAGCUUUUGGUAUAGGAACUAGGUUGUUUAUAUUUGUUGAUUACUUUCUUGUCUCUCAAAGAACCCAUUCUUUGAGUUCUAUCUCUUGUUCAUUUGCUUUUAGGCAAAUCACAUUGUAGGAUUACAAUGAACUACCCAACAAAACAACAUUUGUUAGUUGGUUUAUAGAAGCGAUAUCCAAAAGUUAAUUUAAGGAUAUCCUACAAGAUUGUUAUCAAACAAAUAUUGCUUAUUAGCACACAACCCCAAAUCUUAACAUGCUUGAGAUUUGUCUUUCUUUCCAACUACAUCUUAUGGAGUCAUGAAAAUAUUGGAAGAUCUUCUAAUUUACAAUCAUAUUGUUUUUAGAAGUAUAUAUCCUAUAUAUGGGUAAUAGAUAACAUCUAACGAACUAAAUCUUAUUCGAGUUCGUUCUUCUCCUAAUGGAGAAAUACAUUAUCUUAUGAUGCUAUUUUUCCUUGAUAUCUUUCAAGGAAACUCAUCUAAAGUGUUACCUUUCCUUGGAUCAAAUCUAAGGAGGUAAAUACUUUAGAUGUCUUACUCAUCUACUUACAUUUCUUGAAUUCUUUGAAACAUUUUGCAAAGUAUUCGGACUUGUGUUUAUUCAAAAUAAACUAUAGUCCAACCGAGAGUGAUCUUCGGUGAAUGUUAUCCAACAUGAGUAGUAUUAUGUUGUGGACAAGUGCCACUAACAUCUAAGUGAAUUAACCUCAACAACUUUGUGAUUCUUUAUUCUUUCCAAAAGAAUGAAGAUUCAAACAUUUUGCCUCUAUACAAUUUUAACAAGAAGGCAUUGGAUCCGGAUCUAACGAUCCAAAGUAUCCAUCUAUGACUAACUCGUAAUUUAUGUUUUAGAGGUAUCACAACUUUAGUUGGGAUUAGUCACUACCUUUCAACCUUUUUGGGUUUUAAGCAUCAUUAUAUUCUAAACAGUUAACACCACCAUAUUAUCUCUACUAUAGAGACAAUCAAUUAGAUUACUAUAAUUCAAUCAUUGAUUAAUAAAGAACAAUGUUUUGUCAAACAAAACAUUCAUCCAUCUCUACUAUAGUGACGGAAUUAAAUUCCUUAAAAUUGGAAUGUAAAGACAAUCUUUGGUUUUUCCAAUUUCUUUGGUAGUUCAUAUGAGGAAGUAAGUACCAUCUGCUUUCGCAGAAAUCUAUAUUUUAUUCACUUUCCGAAUGUGAAGUACUUUCUCUUCUCUCAGUAAUCUUCUACUUCUUAUUAGCCAUACUUUUACAACGAUUGUAAAACAUAGUUACUAAUACGGAAUCAAGCAUUCAAGUAGAAGAACCAACUGUUUUGAACUAUUCAAGAACAAUUUACAACACCUUCGAAAGGUGUGUUCUUGACACUUGCAAGACAUUUCUUGCAAAUACCCCUUCCAAUGUCCAUCCUUUCAUAAAGAAAGUUUGUUCCCUUGGAGUUAUUUCGCUUUCUUCAUUUGACUUCUCCUUUGACUACAAUAGUCAUGGUCCCUAAACUCCCACUAUCUCUCUUGAAACUUAUUUCAAUUGUGUUAUACACAUCAAACAUUUUGGAGAGCAUGUGUUUAUUGUUCACUACAUAGUUUACAAUAAACUUAGUGAACCAUAAGGAUAGGCACACAAAGGUGAAGUCCUUGCCUAGUUUCCGUCUCGUUAAGUGGUUUAUCACUUCAACACUCAAUGAUUCAAAAUCAUCAUAAGUCCAUGUUGAUGGACUAUUUUUGUCAACCAACCAUUAUGUUCUAAACAUAAUUACAAACUUUCAAGAGUUGUUCAAGGCAACUCUCAUUUCUUCAUACAACAAUUUGUAAGUGAAGAAUCAUGGCACAUUAAGUGUCCAUGCCUUUGUGCUUUCUUCUCAAGUUCCUUGUUCAUGUAACAAAGAAACAAGCACUAAGUGUUUGCAUUGACUAAGAGUUGUUCAAAGCAACUCCUAUUUCUUCAUACAACGAUUUAUAAGUGAAGAACUAAUAACACUAAAAGUGUCAUUUUCUUUAUGCUAAUCUUCGUAAGUUCCUUUGUUCAUUUAACAAAGGAUUAAGCAUUGGUUGUUUGUGUUGUCCUCUUCAUGAUAGACUUUUCUAACAUGUUCUUCCAAUGAUACAUUAUCAUUAGGAAGAUUGUGAGGAUGAGACUACUUAGAUACAUAUACAAUCCAUUUAAGACAAUCUUUGGGAUUGUGGUACCAAGUCCGGAAACUAAAACAUUCGGUUUUAUUUUGUCAAGUGUUGGAUAGCGUUUGCAAAUAUAUUGGUAAACAAAUACAUAACGAAUAUAAAUUGAUUGAUUUUAAGCCAUUUGAUUCGGGUCUUUAAAUCAAAUAGCACCACCCACUAUUUUUGGCAAAUUCCAUAUCCCUCAUUGGAAUUCGAGAGUUUUGGAUGAAACUCUUAGUAGGUUAUGGGAGACUCACUAUUACCAAGCCCACCUCAUAAUGAUAUGAUGUUGGCUAGCAUUAAUAAUAAUGAGAGAGUACACUUACUCAUUUGCAACUAAUGCAAGUACCCAUCUUAUUUGGCCUCUAGAGAAUGUCACCUCACAAUGAUAUGAUGUUGGCUCCAUUGCACUUAGUUAAGUCAUUCCCACCAUGCUUAGUUCGUGAAGGGGUUCAAGAAUAGCCUCACGAUGAUACAAUGUCGGCCAUCCUCGUUGCCUACACUAACCUCAUCAUAUGUUUAUGGAUUCCUCCUGAGUAUAAGCAUGCACUUUGUACUCCCCCAUGAUAGGGUGAAGCCGGUGUACAAGUCAUAAACGAUUGGAGCCACCACGGUGGAAGGCCUACGAAAGAGUGUUCAAAGCACUCUCACGCUUAUCAACUUAAUAAUCGUUUGGUUGAGGGUUUUAGGUCUCAUCACAUACAAAUAUUCAAUUUUAAUCUCUAUUAAAACAAUUUUGGUCCUAUUACAACUAUUGGUCCAUAUAAUUGUUUUAGUUGUAUAUAAUACUCCCACUAUGCUUAUAAAACGGUUUUUAAAGCAAGAGUAUAUGAUACUACUAACAUAAACUUUUGCAUUCAUUUUAUGGACUAUAUAGUUGCCUUAGGGCCUUAGGAUGACUAUGAACCUUUGUUUAGAUUCAACACGAGCCUUGUGUUGAAUCUCGGUCUAGGGAUGGUGAUUGAUUUUAGUUACGCGUUUAAUCACAUUAAGGCGUGUUGUCUUAGGGCGUUGGACCCAACUACUUCAUUUUCAUGCAUAUCAAAUAAAGCAAGAAAGAAGUACUUCAAAGUAAAGGUGAGCUUAUGCUCAUUACAACAUUUGCAUAAAACAAAUUACUUUAAAGUAAAGAAGAGCUUAAGCCCUUUUACAACAUUUGAUCAAAUCAAAUUACCAAAAUUAAUCUACACAUUCCCAUGGUUCAAACAAAUUUGAAACGGCCUUUCACAUAGCUCAAUUAUAUUAGGCUUAGGUUCAUAAUCACCCUUUAAUUAAUUAACACUUUAACUAAUUAAAUUGAAUGCAACAUUUUCAUUUGGUUUUUGUAUCCAUAAAAUUGAUUUAAAUGGAGCUAAACAAAAUGAAAAUCCAAUUCUCAUUUAAAGAGACAAAACAAUUUUGUUCUCUACCUAAUUUGGGCCAUCAUGCAAUAACCACAACUUAUUUGGGCUAUAAAGCAAUUAACCUCAACUUUUGGGCUAUAUUGCAAAACUUUUGGGGUACUUUGUAAAGACACAAAAGUCCACUACUUCAUGUAAUUACAAUAGAACCCAAAAUUUAAUCAAUGCAAAAACUUCAUUAAAGGAUCAAAACAAUUUGUCCUUUAGCGUUUUUGGACCUUAACGUAAAAACGUAAACUUUUGGGCCAAAGUGCAAAUACACAAAAGUAUCAAAACUUUAUGUAAUUGCAUAAAAGCCCCAAAAGUACCCCACUUGAUAAGGUGGCCGGUUUUGGAGACCAAAGAGAGUGAUGUGUGUGUUGAUUUGUAGUUUGACAUAAAGCAUGCAAGUGGUGUGUGUGAAAGGAAAUUAAUCCUUUCACACCCACCAAUAUCUCUUACACCUUUCAAAUAAAAAUCUAAUGCAUUUAAACAUUUGAAAAUCAUAAAACAUAAACUUUAUGAAAUAAAUCAAACUUUGAAUCAAAACACAAACCUUUUUGUUCUUGGCAAAAAUGUCAAGAACAAUGAAGAACACUCAUGAAAAAACUCAAAAUUUUCCAUGAACAUUUUUCACCCAAAAAAAAAAUCCAAAACCAUUCAAGCUUUAGGGAAAUAACAUCUAACCAAACUAGGGUACAUAGGGGUUCCAAAAGUCACUUGAAAACACUUUUAACAAGUCAAACAAGAACCCAAAAAUCCACCCUUUGGAUUUGGCCGAAUUUUCCCAAAAGCAUGGCACCAAAUUUUAGCUUCAAUAUUCAUGCUCAUAUGAACUACAUCUACAACAUUUGAGAUGGCAAAUUUUCCAACAAAAUUUACAUUCAAAGAAACAAGAAUAAAGCUUGUAACAAUUACAACUUUUAAAUCACAAACUAUGAACUACAAAACCCAAAAGGAUUCACCAACUACUAGACCUAGGCUCUGAUACCACUUGAAGGAUUAUUUUGUGAAAACAUGUUCAUUUAAGCAACAUCAAUAAGCAUGCAAUUAACAAUUAAAGGCGGAAUCAUGCUAGCAUGCGCUUAAAAACAAAACAUUAACCAAGAAAUUCAAAGCCUAUUAGAUUGGUGAACCAAAACUCAACUCAAAACAAAGUGAGUUGAAAUUGUACCUUUGUAGAUUCCUCUUUGCAUAAGCAAAGGCUAAUCACCCAAAGAGAGGGCCUUCAUUCCUGGCAUAAUAAAUCUAUGGAUUUAGAUGGAUGAAUAGGUUUCUCCAAGUUCCCAAAAUAGGGAACCUCUAAGUCUCUUCACCAACGAGAGAUUGGAGAAGAAAUGAGUGACCUUGGAGUAGUGGGAUUGCAAGAUGCACCCCCAAGGUGGCCGGCCUCUUUAGAGAGAAAUGGAGAGACAUGUUCUCUCCAAUUUUCUCCAAAACAAACCCUUAAUGAAUUUUGGCUAUAAAGUCAUAUUUAUACCUUUAUUCAUUUGAGUGGCAAACUUGUAAAUAAGUCCAAGUUCCCUACCCUAAACAAUAUGGCCGGCCAUUAGGAUAUUUUGGACUAAUUGGGCCUUUAUGAAUCAUUAUUCAUUAAGUUGUCAUACAACUUAAGUUAAUGGGCUUGACGUUCGAAGCCUAUUGGGCCUUAAGGUCCAAAACUAUCCCGAGGUCUUUAACGAACUUAUUCGUUUGAUUAAUUAACAUAUUAAUUAAUCCUUGCCAUAAAUAAAUGAUUAAACCAUUUAAUCAUGCUUACUCAUCUCCAUUGUUUCUUCAAUCUCCACCUUACACGGUGUGCGAUCCAUUAGGUUCCUUUUAGCGAGGCAGUGGGCGAUUAAAACCAUUUUACAUCGAUUGUGAAUUGAAACUUACUUUCAAUUCUCCCUUUAGUGAUUACACACGUUUAGGGCUUCCACAAACCAUGAGUGACACCUUGCAGCAUAUCAUGGUUACCCAAGCUAAUUAGAAGAGGUAGAGAAAACCUAUUCAGUUUGGGAUUACAAAUGCAAUACGGUCUUUCUCUAAUACAAUACUCUUGACCACAUUGUUUGGUUUGAUAGUUUAUUUAUUCAUGUCUACUAUCCAAUGUGAUUCGUGUGCUUAUAUGAUUACCUUGAAUGUGAUUUAGAACGACUUUUCUAAAUCUCAUUCAUACUCUGGCCAGAGAUUCUAAAUCAUAUCAUAGAGUAUUCUCCCUCAAACAGUUUGAAGGUUAGAGAUCCCUUGUUGCGCAUUCACUUGCCUCCAUGGCUAAGUGGCUUAACCCCAACGAUGCCAUGGACACCCCGAUGGGGUGACUUUGACAUAAUCAAAGAUCAAGGACUUAACCACAAGACAACUGUGAUGCCUCAGGUCAAAUGACUACUUUGCAUUAUCCCAACCAUGAGUUCUCAUGUGACAUGAGUAUGAGAACUCUUCGUUGAUCGCGUUCAGUGAACUCAUUCUCUACUGAGCACCUACGUACUUGUCUUGAUGUCACACACACCAAUGACUCGAGACUAGUCACUCUCCCUGAGAGAAGACAUAGCACGUACCGAUCUUGACGGACUGUCAAUGCCCAAUUGGCAAUCCUAUGAUCAGGAACAUUUAGGAUGUGUCUACGAAAGAAUGGUCUCAUGAAUCUAACUUCAUUAGAUUACAUUCUCCUAAUCACAUAUUCCUUGGACUUUAUCGUUUAAGCAUAUAACAUUUAUAUGAGACGGCUCAAACAAUAAUCUUUGCCCUUUAUAUUAAACUAGAUUAGUUUAACAUGUGAAAUGUCCGUAAAGCAUCAUCACAUGAUUGGUUUUAGGGCACAUUUCCAACAAUUUCAAGUACCGACCCUAUUUCUUUAACUCCUUAUUGUAUGGCUCUUGCGGAGUUGAAGGAAUUAUAAACCAGUUGCAAGAACUUGUUAAAAAAAGGUUUCUUCAGCCAAGCACUUCUCUUUGGGGAGUUUCAGUCUUAUUCAUGAGGAAGAAAGAUGGAACAUUGAGGCUAUGUAUCGAUUACAGACAACUGAAUCAAGUGAUGAUUAAAAUUCAUUAUUAAAAAUCAUUAUCCAUUGCCUCGUAUCGAUGAUCUUUUUUAUCAGCUUUGUGAUGCUUGUGUUUUCUCUAAAAUCGAUCUAAGGACUGGUUAUUAUUAGUUGAAGAUCAGAAGUGAUGAUGUUCCAAAAACAUCCUUUCGAACUCGAUAUGGUCAUUAUGAGUUUCUUGUGAUGCCAUUCGGGUUAACUAAUGCUCCGACAACUUUUAUGGACCUGAUGAAUUGGGUAUUCUGUCCGUACCUUGACAAGUUCGUAAUUAUCUUCAUCGAUGAUAUUCUGGUGUAUUCUAAGAGUGAAGCUGACCAUACUAGACAUUUACGUCUAGUUUUGAAGAAGCUAAAGGAGAAUCAAUUGUACGCCAAAUUCAGUAAGUGUCAGUUCUGGCUGGAUCAGGUGUCUUACUUGGGACACAUGAUAUUAGCUCAAGGGGAUUCUCGUGGAUCCUCAAAAAGUGGCAGUAGUGGAAAAUUGGGAGCAACCUUAGACUGUCACUAAAGUACGGAGUUUUCUUGGUCAGGUUGGCUACUAUCGACUAUUUGUGAAAGACUUCUCAGCCAUAGCCUUGCCUUUGACAAGGUUGACCAAGAAAGGAGUUAAUUUUCAAUGGAGUUAUGAUUGUGAACGGAGUUUCCAACAGUUGAAGUACUGUCUCACUCAUGCGCCUGUUUUGGAACUUCCUGAUGACAGUGGGAAUUUCAAGAUCUAUAGUGACGCAUCUCUGAAUAGUCUGGGCUGCAUGCUGAUGGAGCAUGGAAAGGUGAUCGCGUAUGCUUCACCACAAUUAAAGAUCCAUGAGAUGAAUUACCCUGACGGCCCUUGAUCUUGAAUUGGUGGAAGUUCCUUCAAAGGGCCGUUGGGGCUUGAUCUUGAAUGUUGGGUUGACGAAGAACGAAGAAAGCUUUCUUGAUCCUUUGGGAUUUGCUUGGGAGCUAUGGAGUUUCAAAGCUUCAAGGUUUUGGUGUGAGGUGAAUUGGUUAUCACUUGGUUUUUUUUUUUAAAUGAAUGAAAUGGCUUCUAUUUAUAGAAUUUUCCAAAGCCUAAUUUUGAAUAUAUUAUUCAGAUGAAAUAAAUUGUUUCUAUCAGGUGUUGACACGUGUCCUGUUUGAUGACUUUUCUGAUGAUUCUCGAUUUUUCGUUGAGUCACCUGCUAUGUGUAAAUUUAUGUGACACGAGAACGUUGAAAUUUUAAUUAUUGAUCAACAUUUAUUUCACUGAAAUUUUGAUGUCUACAAAUGCCCCCACUUCAAGGCACGCCAUAUACAUGUGCUUGUCACGUGUAGAAAAUGCGUUUUGAAGUCCCUUAAUGUAAAUGUCGAUCCAAGGGCCGUUGAGGGUUGAUCUUGAAUUAGGCUGGAGAUUUCUUCAAGGGCCGUUGAGGGUUGAUCUUGAAUCGGGCUGGAGAUUUCUUCAAGGGCCGUUGAGGCUUGAUCUUGAAUUGGGUCAGAGAUUUCUUCAAGGGUCGUUGAGGCUUGAUCUUGAACUUUGUUUGAAAUUUUUUCAAGGGCCGUCGAGGCUUGAUCUUGAAGGUUGAAAUUGGACCACAAGGAGCUUCAUAUGGUAAAUGAUCCUUGGCUUUGGUAGUUGAUGAAUCGGCACGUAUUUUGUUGCACUUGUUGACUUUCCACAACUUUGAUCUUGAACUGGGUUGGAGGAUUUUCUGGAUUCCUCCAGUUGUUGACUUUCCACAGCUUAUUCUUGAACUGGGUUGGAAUACCUUUUGGCUUCCUCCGAUUGUUGACUUUCCACAGCUUAUUCUUGAACUGGAUUUGAUUCAAGGGUGGUAGACACUGAAGGAAAAUUUUUGUCCUAGCUAAGAACAUGUGAGAAUAUUUGAACACAUAUGCAAACUAUUAACACAUUAAAGUAGGCAUGCAUUCAAAAACAAUUCUAAAACCCAUGACUUUCAAAGCCUAGUGAAUGGUGAACCAAGAGACUCUUUAACAACAUUAAAGAGAAAGAAGGUUUUAGAGAUUCAUUACCCUUGAAGCUCAUCAUUGUUUACACAAGGGAUUCACCCAAGUGGAGGGCCUUCAAGUCACCUCCUAGCUCUUUGGAACUUCCUUGUGAUUCCUUCCUUUUUUAUGCUCCUUUGCUCCUUGAGGAUGUGAGGAAAGGAUCUCCAAAAACACUAAAGGUUUGGUGUCUCUAAGCCUCCACACCAAGGAUGAGGUGUGAAGAUGAUAUGGAUGACUUAGAGAAGAAAAGAUUGCUAGCUAUCUCCUCUCUAAGUGGCCGGCCCCCUUGUAGAGAAAAAGAGAGAAAGUGUUUCACCUCUUUGCCUCAAAAAAACCCUAAUGAGGUAAAAGCUAUAAAGAUGCUUUUAUAUCUCUUUUCUUAGGUGAAUGGCAAACUUGCAAUUAAGCAAAACUUCCCACUACCCUUGCUAUGGUCGGCCAUCUUAAGUGAUUGGGCUAUUUGCCCAUAUUUGUUUUAGUUGUCAUACAACUUAAACAUAAUGGGCCUAGUGGACCAAACCCUUUUGGACCCCGAAGCCCAAAACUAACUUAAAAGCCCAAUACGAACCUUUCAUAAAAUUAAUUAACUAAUUAAUUAAUCUUGACCAUUCUCAAUUAAACCAUUUAAUUGCUUAUCCAUCUCAUUUAUAUUUCUUCGCUUUCAUCCUUACUCGGUGUACGAUCCAUUAGGUUCCAAUUAGCGAGGCAGUGGGCGGUUAUUACUCUUAACGAUCGAUUAUGAAUUGAAACUACAUUUCAAUUCUCCCUUUGAUUAAGAUUAGUUUUUGCUAAUCUUCAAGGCUUCCACAAACCAUGAGUGACACCUAGCAGCAUGUCAUGGUUACCCAAGCUAAGUAGAAGUGGUUGGAAAACCUAUCCAUUUACAACUACAACGCAAUACGGUUCUUCUCUAAUACAAUACUCUUAAUCACAUUGUUUGAGUGAUAGUUUGUUUCAUGUCUACUAUCCAAUGUAAUACUUCUCUAUAUGAUUCAAUUGAAUAUGAUUUAGAACAUACUUCCUAAGUCAUAUUCGUUUGCUUUGGCCAAAGACUCCCGAAUCAUAUCUUAGAGUAUUCUCCUUCCAUCAUGGAAGGUUAGAGAUCCCUUGUUGUGCAUUCAUAUGCCUACAUGACUAGAUAGCUUGACCCCAACAAUGCCGUGGACACUCUCGAUGGAAUGCCUUUGACAUGAUUAAAGAUCAAGGACCUAACCAUUAGACAUCUAUGAUGCCUCAAGUCAAAGGACUACUUUGCAUAUUGCAAUUUAUGAGUUCUUACAUGACAUGUAUGUUCGAACUCUAUUUUGAUCAUUGUUCAGUGUACUUGAUUACUCUUUCAAGCACCUAUGUGUUUGUCUUAGUGUCCAACACUAAAUGACUUGAGAUUAGUCAUACUCACACUUGAGUUGACAUAACACAUACUAACCUUAGCGGAUUGUCAAUGCCCAAUUAGCAAUAACUAUGGCUAGGAACGUUUUAGGAAUGAACAUAAGAGAAAGGUCUCAUUAAUCUAACUUACUUAAAUCACUUCUCUCUUAGAUCAAAUACAUUCCUUGGAUUCCCUUAUUGCUUAAACACAUGAUACAAUAAAUAGUGAUUAACAAUAAGCUUUGCCCUUCAUUAAACAUAUAAUAGUUUAAUACAAUAAGUAUUCCAAAAGCUAUUACAUCAAAUGAGUGGCUUUGUGGGCAUACUUCCAACAGACACUUGAUUUUGAAUCGGACUUGUGAUUUCCUCAAGGGCCGUCGAGGCUUGAUCUCGAAUUUGGCUGGAAGCUUCUUCAAGGGCCGUUGAGGCUUGAUUCUUGAAGGUUGACUCGAACACAUGGCAAGCAGGCACGAGGUGAAGGUGACGACUUGUUGCUUUGUUCAAUCUUUCUAAUCCACACCUGAGCAGUUUGGUCAACGGUAUGAUCUUCAAGAUUGAUGGGCUCUUCUUCCAGUUGGUGACUUGAUCUUUAAAGAUUUGAUUCAAGGGUGGUGAAUCGGUACGUGCAGCCCACAACGCUGAGCGAGUCGACCCAAGAAUUUGAGGGUCAAAACGAGUCCUCCACCCAGAGUGAUUGCAACCUUGAUAAUAUGAGAUACUUUUGAUUUUGAAGAAGUAGCGGAUGAAUCGGCACGUGCUUUAUUGUGCUUGUCUCUACAUGCUUCAAUGUAUCAUUUUCCCUUGCCUUAUCUGUUCUUCUGGUAGAUGUGGUAUCUUCUCUGGAAGCAUAAGAUGUUGAGACAAUGGGUACUUCGAGAGUAGUGCUAGGUAAGCAAUCAGGGAAGGGUUCCAGGCAGUCGGUUCCAGAUCGGAAGAUUAAUACCAAGUGCUGGCUGAUUGCUUUCUUUCUCCUUGUCCCGCAGGUAAGAACAAGGACAAAGAAAAGGACAGGGAGAAAACAUGAUAUGAAAUACUCUUGCUUUCGAAUAAGUGGUGGCGAUUUGACAGCGUUGCAUAGCGAGGCUCUGUUCUUCGACGAUGGUGCCGUCAAUAUGUUGUUGAAGCUUCUCGAGCUCUUGGAUUCAACUCAGACCCCUUCUUAUCUCUAAUUCUUCAACUCGGACUCCUUCUGCUGAGUUGAUUGUGCAUGCCGCAUUUCCAUAUUUGUUCUCCAGCAGAUGUGGCAGCUUCUUGAGUUCCUCAACUCAGACUCCUUCUGCUGAGUUGACUGUGCAAGCUGCAUUCUUCUCUGCUUGUUUCUUCUGCACUUUGUCUCCACAUGCUGCAAGGUAUCGUUUCACUUGCCUUAUCUGUUCUCCAGGCAUAUGUGGCAUCUUCUUCGGAAGUACAUCAGCAGCUGAAGACGAGUACUCGAGAGCAAUGCCAGGUAAGCAACCAGGCAAAGGUUCCAGGCAGUCGAUUCUUUACCCGAGUUUGAGUGGAGGUUCCGGCAUAUUUCUUUCUUUAUCCUUGUCUUUGCAGGUAAGAACAAGGACAAAGGAAAGGAUAGGGAGAAAGCAUGAUAUGAGAUACUCUUGCUUUCUACCUUGGUGAUAUGAGAUACUUUUGCUUUGGUGUCAUUUGUUUGCAGAGGUACCCCAAGGAAUAAGGAACACUGAGUGACUCGAGAGGCUUUGUUGGGAAGGCAUUCUCGGAGAUGAAGAAAGGUUAUGUAUGUCUACCUUGCUAUGGAGGGUGAAGGUUGACAUUUAUAUGGAUUAAUAACCGGUACUGUUAUUUCACUCUUGUCAGCAACCGUUAGAUGAUUUAACGGUAAACUUCACGUGCUUUCUACUUCACAAGAAAUCUUCGACAAAUUGCCCGUAAUUUCCGCACAGCUGAGUGUGCAUGUGACAGGCGCUGAGACGUCUGGAAAAGUAAGUGCCUCUUCGAUAUCUGGAAUCGGCGCUUCGACAAACUGCCAGUGAUUUCCGCAAAGCUAAGUGUGCAUGUGACAGAUGCUGACACGUCUGGAAAGCAGAUGCCUCUCCAAUUUUUGAGCUUGCCUCUUCGAGUUCUGAGCUCCGUUGAGUGCAGAGGUUGCAUGUGACAAGUGCAGACAGAUCUGGAGAGGAAGAUUGGCCCGUGGUUUCUGAGCAAGCCCAGCUUUUGAGAAAGCUAGCACCUCUUCGAUUUUUGAAUUGGCCUCUUCGAAUUCUGAGCUCGCCUCUUCAAUCUCUGAAAUCCUAUCGAGUGCUGAUUUUUUAUAGAGGCACGCAGUUCGUUUCAAAGCACACUUGAAUUUUCGCUUGUAGAAACUCCCUUCUUGCACUUCUAAGAUCUUGAUUUGUCGACUUUUUCUUUCUUCAAUACCUUUGAAAAUGUCUGGCCCCUCCGACCGUCGUUUUGAAUUGAACCUUGAUAAAGAGGUAGCUAUGCCUUCCCCAGACAAUAUACGGCGUCCAUCCUUCAUAUCCCCUACUGGUCCUCUUACCGUUGGGGACUCGGUGCUGAAGAAUGAUAUGACCGCUGCGGUUGUGGCCCGGAACCUUGUCAUUCCCAAAGAUAACAGACUACUUUCCAAACGGUUUGAUGAGUUGGCUGUUAAGGAUUCUCUGGCUCUCAGUGUGCAGUGUGUAGGUUCUGUGUCUAAUAUGGCCCAACGUCUAUUUGCUUGAACCCGUCAAGUUGAAUCAUUGGCGGCCGAAGUGAUGAGUCUCAAACAGGAGAUCAAAGGGCUCAAGCAUGAGAAUAAACAGUUGUACAUGCUCGCACAUAACUAUGCUACAAACAUGAAGAGGAAGAUUGACCAGAUGCAGGAAUCUGAUGGUCAGAUUUUACUUGAUCAUCAGAGGUUUGUGUGUUUGUUCCAACAGCAUUUGCCUUCGUCUUCUAGGGCUGUACCGCGUAAUGAAGCUCCAAAUGAUCAACCUUCGGUGCCUUCUCCUCUUGGGGUUCUGCCUAGUACUGAGGCUCUGAAUAAUCACCCUCUGGUGCCUCUUCGACCUAGGGCUCUGCGGAUUGCUGAGACUUCUCCUGAGCAACCUUUGUGAAGGUUUCCUCUUGUUUGUUUAUUUUGAUUUAUUAUAUGUACAUAUUUGUAACUUAUUGGAAAUAUCAAUAAAUGAGCUUUAUUUCAUUUAGUGUCUAUAUAUACAUAUAUAUUUCAUAUGAUGCUGAUCCACCAUUCAUUUAUAUAUAUAUAUAUAUAUAUAUAUAUAUAUAUAUUAUUUUUUUAUUUAUUAUUAUUUUUUUUUUCUUUUCUUUUCUUGCACAUGGUGCCAGAUGCACCAUCCAUUAUAUAUACAUAUAUAUAUAUAUAUAUUUUUUUUUUUUCUUGCACAUGAUGCUAGAUGCACCAUCCAUUUUUUUAUAUUUUCUUUUCUUUUCUUGCACAUGGUGCUAGAUGCACCAUUCAUUUUUUUUAUAUUUCUUUUCUUUUCUUUUCUUGCACAUGGUGGUGCUGAUCCACCAAGAUUCCACCAUUUCUUCUUCUUUCCAGAUUGGUUUGUCCCCUUUCAUUUUUUUUAUAUAUAUUCCCCACAUGGUGCAGAGAGGAAAUGCAGAGGAGGACGAGGACGGACAGAGAGCUGCAGUCGAGGCGACCGACUAGUCGUUUAAUGGCGGUUAUUGAAGUUCUUCGCCAUUGCUGUUUGCCACAGACGGAGAGCUACACUCGAGGCUUCAUGACCGACUAGUUGUUUGACGGUGGUUAUUGAAGUUCUUCGCCAAUGCUGUUUGCCACGGAUGGAGAGCUAUUGAAACUGCCGUUGCUGUUUGCUAUAAGGGACACCGCUUGCUGCGAAGGGGAGUAUCGCUCGUUGUUGAUGGUUCCACCGUGUUUCUUGUUGUAGAAGCUGAUGGGCAGAAGGGGAAGGCUUGUAGAGAAGGACGAGUGAGCUGGGGUAAGUCCCGACCAUUUAGUGGAGCUGCCAGAGCCGAUGGCUUCGAUGACGGCUGCAACGGAAACGCUUAUCUUCGUUUCUGCCAGAGGAGGGUGCUGGAGUUGUAGCUGAGGCUAGUGGAGCACAGCAAAGACAACCCUUUUCGAAUGCACGGGGGAGAUGGCGUUUAUGGCUUUAACGCCGAACACGCAUGAGCCGCAGGCGAACUUCUUCAAAUCCUUACAGUUCUACGUGACGCGAUCAUGCUGAGGUCGGUGAUUUCCUGGCAGCCGGUGAGGAGGAGGAUACAGAGCUAGUGGCAACCGAGACCAACGAUUCACGAUGCUGGCCCAGGAGCUCUUGGACGUCAGCUUCCCCAUGUUGGAGAGGAUGAUCUAAGAUGUUGCUGUGCCGUGCCGAGGAAAAGAUGACGAGAUGGCGCUGUGCCAUGCAGAGGAGAAGACGAAAUAGCUGCAGUCUCGCAACUCCCUUGCUUCGUUCAUACUUGCCGCCAGCUGGUUCACGCACACUACACAUGUGUCGCAGUCGCUGCCGCAUGGUGAUCAAGCUAUGAUUUAUCGGCAGAAGUGGAGGGCAUGGAGAGGUUGAGGACAUAAGUUGUGUUGAAAGAGGAGUCAUCCAUCCAUAGGAGUACAGCCUUCUUGGUGUUAUUGCUGAGCUCGGAGGAGAGGGUGGAGUCGAAGCUUUUGAAGACUUUCCGGACCUCAUCGAUGACGAUGCUGGACUCGUCGUCAUGAGCAGGCGGCAGAAUGGCGGUGGGGAUCAGGAGGGAGAGCCAAGCGAUGAUGAAGAAAAACAGGCUGACAGAGAUUGCUGCACAUUGCUGUUCGCUGCGCUGCUGCUGAUUACUGCACUACAUGUUUGGUACUGUUCGCUGGGAUGAUGGCUACCCACUACUUGCUGGGAUGAUGGCUGCUCCCCGCUUGUUGCUGCCUUGCUUGCUCAGCCAUGCUCCAGCCCACUCGAUUGGAAUCGACAGCAAGAACGUGAUAAAAGUUGAGGAGACCCACCAUGUUGUUGCAACAAGGUUUUGAAGUUUAGGAGGUUUUGUCUUCCGCUGUUGUGGACUGAUGGGGACUCGAAACCUUCUGUUGGUCUCCCUCUUUGAUAGUAAUCUGUCGCUUUCCAUAACCGACUUAUCACCUCUCAACGACAUCUCCAUGGCCCUCCUUCUUGAGCUGCAGAGCGACUUCAAAGCCGGGGUAAUCAAGUCAAGGUGCCUGUUUCUGUUAGCAUUGACGCAAUUAGCAUCGGCAGGAGCGUCGGGCAAGAGCUGACAACCUCAAGUGAAGCAGUGGAACCGUCAACAGCUAAUCGAAUGACGGGUACUCCAGCUUGCAUGAGAGUCGUGGCCUGGUCAGUGAUGGCUACUGUCUUGGAAGCUUUGACAAAGUUGACUUGUGGGCUCAGAGGGAAGUCGACUUCUACUUGGGUCUGGUCCUGGUCCAUGGAGAGGUAGUCGGUUCCUGUUUGGAGUUUGACAAGCUGCCUCACAAAUUCAUGCCCAAUAAAAGGAUUUGUCCUGAUUGCUGCACCGACUGGAUUUAGGACUGAUUUCAUCCAUUUUGGCUUGUGGACGGCGUUUAAAAUGGAGAGAUACCCCACUUUGAUAUAUAUAUAUAUAUAUAUAUAUAUAUAUAUAUUUUUAAAUUUUUUUUUACAAAGAAAUUGUAAUAACAUCAAACUUUUAAUAAAAAUUUUAUUCUUUAUUUUGAUGUGACUGAACUCGAAGUUGAAUGUUCGAGAUGCCUACGUACCCUUCUAAAGAAGAGAUCAAGUCAUAACGUAGUUCAAGUGGGUGAUUUUUUUGGAUUUUUUUUUUGUGCUGUACGCAGUUUAUGCUCUUGCGGACCAUGAGCAUCUUGGUGCUGUUUGCAGUUUCAACUCGUGCAGGCAAUGAGCGUUUGGUGUCGCCUUUUAUGCUCGUGCAGACAAGGAGCUUUGGUGUUGCCUUUUAUGCUCGUGCAGACCAGGAGCUUUGUGCCAUGCAGUUUAGGCUCGUGCAGGCGAUGAGCUUAGUGCCAUGCAGUUUAGGCUCGUGCAGGCGAGGAGCCUUGGUUGUAGAUUUGUCAAGCGAUCUUGGAGAGUCGUUCCUCACAAUCUUUAUAGAAAGGAGCCUUGACUGAGUAAUUGAAAAAGUUUUUGGGCAAGAAGUCGCGCAUCGUGAUGGCAACGAAUGAUCUUUGUGUCGUAAUUUCAUCAUCCUCAACACUUUCGUGUAGCUUUGAAGGUUGACGAGAGCUGUUUUGCCCCCUUUUCAAUUGGUGAACUUGUGGAGGAAAUGUAUGCUUCUUGUCCAGUUUCUUUGGAGUAACAUGCGUCCAUCCCUCAACUUUACUUUGCUUUGACUGGCAUGGUUUUAGAGCAUGCCCCCAGCGAUUGAGGUGAAGAUUUUGAGUCGACAGAGCCAUAAGUGAUGGUGGUAUAAUUUGACUUCACCACAUCGUCAAGAUCUAGCUCAAUGAUUCCUUUUUUAGCCAUCUUCAUGAUGAGAUAUUUCAGUACGAAGCACUUUUCCGUUGGAUGACUUAUGAAACAGUGGAAUUUACAGUACCUUGGACUGUCAGUACGAUUCAUUUCUUCCGGCCGUCUGCACUCUGGUAAGUCGAUCACCUUUUUGCUAAGCAAGUCUUUUAACAUGGCAACCACAUCAGAGUCGGGGAAUGGAUAAGUCUUCUCCUCAAGCUCCUUCAAAGUACGUUUACACAUCUCUUGAUCACGAAAAGCUUCGGCUUGAAUCGCCUUGCCUCGUGUAGAGAUUUUGACCGGAGCUAUGUUGACCAUCAUUGCUUCCUUAGUGGAUUUCCACGCAACCUUCUCCACCUUUUAUCCUAAGAGCUUUUUCGUUCUUGUAGUCGGCGAUCGGUUCUUUCUUCCCAUGAUAAGCAAUGCUCAACUCCAUGUCAUGGGCGCGGGUGGCUAACUCCUCAAAGGUCCGUGGUUUGAUGCCUUGAAGGAUAUAGUGUAAUCCCCACUGCAUGCCUUGAACACACAUCUUGAUCGAUGAGGUCUCCGAAAGUCUGUCUUUGCAGUCAAGACUUAGAAUGCGCCAUCGGUUGAUAUAGUCCACGACUGGCUCAUCUUUCCAUUGCUUCGUACUUGUCAGCUCCAGCAUGCUUACAGUGCGGCGGGUGCUGUAGAAGCGAUUAAGGAAUUCUCUUUCCAAUUGCUCCCAGUUGUUGAUGGACUCAGGCUCUAGAUCCGUGUAUCACUUAAAGGCGUUUUCUUUUAGCGAGCGCAUAAACUGCUUGGCGAGGUAGUCUCCUUCCGUCCCCGCGUUGUUGCAAGUUUCGACAAAAUGUGCAACGUGCUGCUUUGGGUUUCCUUUUCCAUCAAACUGUAUGAACCUUGGUGGUUAAUAACCCCUUGGCAUAUUCAGGACAUCAAUCUUCUUGGAGUAUGGCUUCGAGUAGAACAAUGAGGUAUGUGAGCUCCCAUCGUAUUGUGCCUUGAUGGUGUUAGUGAUCAUCUCUUGCAGCUGCUGGAUAGAAAGAGAUCCCAUGAGUGCCGUUGCUUGGUCUGGCUCUGGCUUCACAUCGACUUUAUCCAUCGGAGGCUCUUCUUCUUCGCCAGCUCCUCUCUUUAGAGGAUCAUCCUCUAGGUCAGGGUUCUCGCCGUCCUGUGGCUCCAGUCGGCUGACGAGUGCAGCGAUUUGCAAGUUUUUUUCUUCCAUAAUCCGUGUUAGCCUUACGAUCGCUUCAUUCAUUUGAGCCAGUUGUUCUUCGAUGGAGGUAACGCCGAUGGUCAUGACUUAUGCAACCAAUAGACAUAACUUUCUUUUAGACAUCCAGGAUGCUGAUGAAGAACAUCGUUGGCUACUUUGGGAUGUCAUCUUGUGUGCCUCAUCAGCAUGCUUCGAUGCCCCUAGCGAGGUCAGGUUGAUGACGGACUCGAGCUUUUGAUGUUCCCUUUGCUCCUUUAGUAGCACCAACUUUGAAGUGGCAUGUUGAAGAGCGGUUGUGGUGCCAAUGGAUUGUCCGUUCGCGGCAGAAGUGCUCAGGAUCCUUCCCUUGGUGGUUGUGAGAAUGGCUUGUCCCUUGCUUGAUGCCAUUGACUUUGAGGCGUGUUUGGAUUCCUUGAACGAAGAAAGAGAUGAGAGGUAGAGAUGAUAUCACCGGGGGUGCCAAAUUUGUAAACACGAAAAUUCCUGAAACGAACGAGACAAGUGAAGGAAGAUUUUGUGAAAACAUGUCCAUUUGAGCAACAUCAUAUAGCAUGCAAUUAACAAUUAAAGGCGGAAUCAUGCUUGCAUGCACUCAAAAACAAAACAUCAACCAUGAAAUUCAAAGCCUAGAAGAUUGGUGAACCAAGACUCAACUCAAAUCAAAGUGAGUUGAAAUUUAUACCUUUGUAGAUUCCUCUUUGCAUAAGCAAAGGCUAAUCACCCAAAGAGAGAGCCUUCAUUCCUUGCUUCUUAAAUCUAUGGAUUUGGAUGGAAGAAUAGGUUUCUCCAAGUUCCCAAAAUAGAGAACCUCUAAGUAUCUUCACCAAGGUUAGAUUGGAAAAGAAAUGAGUGACCUUGGAGGAGUUGGAUUGCUAGCUGAUCCCUCCAAGGGGGCCGGCCUCUUUAGAGAGAAAGGGAGAGACAUGUUCUCUCCAAUUCUCUCCAAAAGAAAACCCUUAAUGAAUUUAGGCUAUAAAGUCCUUUAUAUAGUCCCUUCAAAUAAGUGACCUAAAGAACCAAAAAGCCAUUCUCUCUAACAUGGCCGGCCAUAAGGGUUUUAUUGGGCUUUUGGGCCUUUGUGAAUUAAGUUGUCAUACAACUUAAGUCAAUGGGCUUGACGUUCGAAGUCCAUUGGGCCUUGAGGCCCAAAACUAACCCUUGGUCUUUUAACGAACUUUAUUCGUUUGAUUAAUUAACAUAUUAAUUAAUCCUUGCCAUAAAUUAUUAAAUAAUUAAACCAUUUAAUUAUUCUUACUCAUCUCCAUUGUUUCUUCAAUCUCCACCUUACACAGUGUACGAUCCAUUAGGUUCCUUUUAGCGAGGCAGUGGGCGAUUAAAACCAUUUCAAAUCGAUUGUGAAUUGAAACUUACUUUCAAUUCUCCUUUAGUGAUUAUACACGUUUAGGGCUUCCACAAACCAUGAGUGACACCUAGCAGCAUAUCAUGGUUACCCAAGCUAAUCAGAAGAGGUGGAGAACCUAUUCUGUUUAGGAUUACAAAUGCAAUACGGUCUUUCUCUAAUACAAUACUCUUGACCACAUUGUUUGGUUUGAUAGUUUAUUCAUGUCUACUAUCCAAUGUGAUUUGUGUGCUUAUAUGAUUACCUUGAAUGUGAUUUGGAAUGCCUUCCUAAAUCUCAUUCAUACUCUGAUAAGAGAUUUUCAAUCAUAUCAUAGAGUAUUCUCCCCCAAACCAUUUGAAGGUUAGAGAUCCCUUGUUGCGCAUUCACUUGCCUCCAUAGCUAAGUGGCUUAACCCCAACUAUGCCGUGGACACCCUCCUGAUGGAGUGACUUUGACAUAAUCAAAGAUCAAGGACUUAACCACAAGACAACUAUGAUGCCCAGGUCAAAGAACUACUUUGCAUUAUCCCAACCAUGAGUUCUCAUGUGACAUGAAUAUGAGAACUCUUCGUUGAUCGUGUUCAGUGAACUCAUUCUCUAUUGAGCACCUACGUUCUUGUCUUGAUGUCACACACACCAAUGACUCGAGACUAGUCAUUCUCCCUGAGAGAAGACACAGCACGUACUGAUCUUAACGGACUGUCAAUGCCCAAUUGGCAAUCCUAUGAUCAG
rnacentral:lncRNA from 1 species